CCCGUACGGGUUAUCCACGGGUUGGAAUGUGGGCCGGCUGACCGGUCUGAACCAGGAA
rnacentral:ncRNA from 1 species